rnacentral:sRNA from 1 species
UACAAAGGAAGGCCGACUAAGUUCAGCGACGUCCUGUCGCAACGUCGGCACUCAGACAUCGUGUCAU